rnacentral:misc_RNA from 1 species
AGCAGCCGCGGUAAUUCCAGCUCCAAUAGCGUAUAUUAAAGUUGUUGCAGUUAAAAGCUCGUAGUUGAAUUUCGGGAUCAGUUGAUCGGUCGUGCCUCGGUACGUACUGGUCAAAUUGAUUCCUACCUUCUGACGAACCACGAUGUCAUUAAUUUGGUGUCGCGGGAAAUCAGGACUGUUACUUUGAAAAAUUAGAGUGUUUAAAGCAGGCUCGCGCUUGAAUACAUUAGCAUGGAAUAAUGAAAUAGGACGUUUGAUUCUAUUUUGUUGGUUUUCUAGGAUCGACGUAAUGAUUAAUAGGGAUAGUUGGGGGCAUUAGUAUUCAAUUGUCAGAGGUGAAAUUCUUGGAUUUAUUGAAGACUAACUACUGCGAAAGCAUUUGCCAAGGAUGUUUUCAUUAAUCAAGAACGAAAGUUAGGGAUCGAAGACGAUCAGAUACCGUCGUAGUCUUAACCAUAAACUAUGCCGACUAGGGAUCGGAUGAUGUUUAAUUUUUUAAUGUACUCAUUCGGCGCCGUUA